CAGGGAGAGAGUCGCUGGAUAUGUACACUGCAGUUUCAGUUCGCGUGUUUGAAGUACUUUCAUUCAACUCAGUUCUGUUCUCCUUCAACCACACGAGGGCACGCCGGAUAGCUAGGGUUUCACCCAACUUGGCCGAUUGGGCGCUGAUUUUCUCUGCAAAUCCCCCAAUACAUCUUCCGUCGGCUCCUCUGCAGAUUCCAGCAACUGAACUCCUCUCGCCGUGUUCCACCCAUGAGCAAUCCACGUUGAUCUUCAGCGUACCCGGCUCUGGAGGUACCCAGCUGUGUGGUUUUGCGAUUGUUGCGUGCCUUCCAUAUAAGCCAAAGGGAAGUCGCAAAGAUCGCUUUUUGGCUUGCUGACCUGUCCGAGGAGAGGAUAAAUAGGUGUUCAGAUGAUUCUGGCCAUUGAUGGCAAAAGGGGCAAGUGGGCUCAGGUAUCCUUGCUGGCCAUGGGAUUUCUUCCAUGCCUUCUCCACUACAUCUGCACACUCAGGGUGAUCUAGCCAGGUUGUAAAUCACCAGGGCUUGGCCACCUUCAGAAGAACUCUUCCUAUUCGAUUCCUCAUUAGACGGGAUAACAGGGGUCUCGGGAACCAUCUCAUCCUCAGUUAAGCGAUCAUUCGGAUACACUCCUCCGCCAAUGCAGCUCUUGGAAGUCCCAUCAAAUGCACCCAGAAAGAGCAAUGAUUAAAUUCAUAGCAGUGCUCGGGAACAGAAUAUGGGCAUUCAGUUCAGUUAUGUCAUCCCCAGUCCAUAGAUCGCCCAUUCUUUGGCAAAGGGCUAGCAGUCGGAGCUGGUUUUCCUGGGUACCCUCCAUGCAACUAAGAAACAGAGACCUCCGAAGAUGAGAAAGAUUCCGUGGGUUUCAAAGUCAAGUAAACAGGAAAGGGUUGGUUGGGAGUGAAGGGAGUUCUAUUCCGGGAAUACCCCAUAUUAGGUUUGCAGAGAGCUCAGUAUCCAUAUUAGGGUUUGGGAACAAGCUUACAAAGAUGAUAAUCAGGGGAGUAAAUUGGGGCACCACACACUCUUUGAUGGAUGCGAAUCAGGUUGAAGAAACGAAGCAAUCGUCACCCAUCGGGAUGGAGGAACACGCACCUUCAGCGAGGGAGAAAACCAUCGAGGACAGGAGGGAUAUCACGGUGACGAGAGAAAAAGGCAUCUUCCAUUGCCGAGAAAGGAUUCGUGAUGAGAGAACGAGGGAACCAUCACCCACAGGGAUGGAAUAGCGCUCACCUUCAGCGAGGGGAAAAGCCAUCGACGGCAGGAGGGACGUCACCAUGACGGGAGGGAAAGGCGUCUUCCAUCGCUAGAGAGACC